rnacentral:rRNA from 1 species
UAGUAUAAGCAUUAUACCGUGAAACUGCGAAUGGCUCAUUAAAUCAGUUAUCGUUUAUUUGAUAAUACCUUACUACUUGGAUAACCGUGGUAAUUCUAGAGCUAAUACAUGCUGAAAAUCCCGACUUCGGAAGGGAUGUGUUUAUUAGAUAAAAAACCAAUGCCCUUCGGGGCUUUUUGGUGAUUCAUGAUAACUUUACGGAUCGCAUAGCCUUGCGCUGGCGACGGUUCAUUCAAAUUUCUGCCCUAUCAACUUUCGAUGGUAAGGUAUUGGCUUACCAUGGUUUCAACGGGUAACGGGGAAUUAGGGUUCGAUUCCGGAGAGGGAGCCUGAGAAACGGCUACCACAUCCAAGGAAGGCAGCAGGCGCGCAAAUUACCCAAUCCCGACACGGGGAGGUAGUGACAAUAAAUACUGAUACAGGGCUCUUUUGGGUCUUGUAAUUGGAAUGAGUACAAUUUAAACCUCUUAACGAGGAACAAUUGGAGGGCAAGUCUGGUGCCAGCAGCCGCGGUAAUUCCAGCUCCAAUAGCGUAUAUUAAAGUUGUUGCAGUUAAAAAGCUCGUAGUUGAAACUUGGGCCUGGCUGGCGGGUCCGCCUCACCGCGUGCACUCGUCCGGCCGGGCCUUCCUUCUGAAGAACCUCAUGCCCUUCACUGGGCGUGCUGGGGAAUCAGGACUUUUACUUUGAAAAAAUUAGAGUGUUCAAAGCAGGCCUUUGCUCGAAUACGUUAGCAUGGAAUAAUAAAAUAGGGCGUGCGUUUCUAUUUUGUUGGUUUCUAGAGACGCCGCAAUGAUUAACAGGAACAGUCGGGGGCAUCAGUAUUCAGUUGUCAGAGGUGAAAUUCUUGGAUUUACUGAAGACUAACUACUGCGAAAGCAUUUGCCAAGGAUGUUUUCAUUAAUCAGUGAACGAAAGUUAGGGGAUCGAAGACGAUCAGAUACCGUCGUAGUCUUAACCGUAAACUAUGCCGACUAGGGAUCGGGCGAUGUUCUUUUUCUGACUCGCUCGGCACCUUACGAGAAAUCAAAGUUUUUGGGUCU